UAGCUAAUACCGGAUAACAACAGAUGAUGCCUAUCAACUGUUUAAAAGAUGGUUCUGCUAUCACUCUUGGAUGGACCUGCGGUGCAUUAGCUAGUUGGUAGGGUAACGGCCUACCAAGGCGAUGAUGCAUAGCCGAGUUGAGAGACUGAUCGGCCACAUUGGGACUGAGACACGGCCCAAACUCCUACGGGAGGCAGCAGCC
rnacentral:rRNA from 1 species